GCCUGUUUUUCAAAAACAUAGCCCCACGAUGAUGUAUGUGAGGUGAGACCUGCCCAGUGAGUUUUAAACGGCCGCUAAAGCGCUAAGGUAGCAUAAUGAUUUGCCCCUUAAUUAGGGGCUAGAAUGAACGGUUAAACGGGUUAUACCUUUCUUAAACACAACACCCUAAACUAAACUGUCUGUGAAAAUGCAGACAUCCACCUGAAAGACCAAAAGACCCUAGGAGCUAUAAUUUGGUUAAUAUUUAAUUGGCUUAAUUUUUAUUGGGGUAAUGGUGGAAAUUCAUCCACAUAUGCAUAAAUUUAGUCAGACACUAGAUUAAACAAGCUACCCUAGGGAUAACAGGCUAAUCUUUUUUAAAAGUCCUAAUUAACAAAAAGAACUAGCACCUCGAUGUUGGCUUAAGAGUACCUGUAGUGUAGCAGCUACAGCUAAAGGCUUGUUCCGCCUAUAAUUUCUUACGUGAUCUGAG
rnacentral:rRNA from 1 species